rnacentral:snoRNA from 1 species
CGGCCGAUGAUGCUAGACAUGCUCCUACGGUUCAGACCUAUGGGGAGGAUUUCCUACGCAUAUUUCCCAAGAGCUGAGGCCC